GACGUAGGAGGCGAGCGUUGUCCGGAUUCAUUGGGCGUAAAGAGCUCGUAGGCGGUUUGUCGCGUCUGCCGUGAAAGUCCGGGGCUCAACUCCGGAUCUGCGGUGGGUACGGGCAGACUAGAGUGCGGUAGGGGAGACUGGAAUUCCUGGUGUAGCGGUGGAAUGCGCAGAUAUCAGGAGGAACACCGAUGGCGAAGGCAGGUCUCUGGGCCGCAACUGACGCUGAGGAGCGAAAGCAUGGGGAGCGAACAGG
rnacentral:rRNA from 1 species